rnacentral:rRNA from 1 species
GGGCGAGCCGAUCCAGCAUGCGCGUGCAGGAUGAAGGCCUUCGGGUUGUAAACUGCUUUUGUACGGAACGAAACGGUCGGCUCUAAUACAGGGGGCUAAUGACGGUACCGUAAGAAUAAGCACCGGCUAACUACGUGCCAGCAGCCGCGGUAAUACGUAGGGUGCGAGCGUUAAUCGGAAUUACUGGGCGUAAAGCGUGCGCAGGCGGUUAUAUAAGACAGAUGUGAAAUCCCCGGGCUCAACCUGGGACCUGCAUUUGUGACUGUAUAGCUAGAGUACGGUAGAGGGGGAUGGAAUUCCGCGUGUAGCAGUGAAAUGCGUAGAUAUGCGGAGGAACACCGAUGGCGAAGGCAAUCCCCUGGACCUGUACUGACGCUCAUGCACGAAAGCGUGGGGAGCAAACAGGAUUAGAUACCCUGGGUAGCCCCCGCCCUAAACGAUGUCAACUGGUUGUUGGGACUUCACUGACUCAGUAACGAAGCUAACGCGUGAAGUUGGACGCCUGGGGAGUACGUCCGCCAGGUUGAAACUCAAAGGAAUUGACGG